rnacentral:rRNA from 1 species
GUGGGGAAUAUUGGACAAUGGGGGGAACCCUGAUCCAGCCAUGCUGCGUGUGUGAAGAAGGCCUUUUGGUUGUAAAGCACUUUAAGCGAGGAGGAGGCUACCGAGAUUAAUACUCUUGGAUAGUGGACGUUACUCGCAGAAUAAGCACCGGCUAACUCUGUGCCAGCAGCCGCGGUAAUACAGAGGGUGCAAGCGUUAAUCGGAUUUACUGGGCGUAAAGCGCGCGUAGGUGGCCAAUUAAGUCAAAUGUGAAAUCCCCGAGCUUAACUUGGGAAUUGCAUUCGAUACUGGUUGGCUAGAGUAUGGGAGAGGAUGGUAGAAUUCCAGGUGUAGCGGUGAAAUGCGUAGAGAUCUGGAGGAAUACCGAUGGCGAAGGCAGCCAUCUGGCCUAAUACUGACACUGAGGUGCGAAAGCAUGGGGAGCAAACAGGAUUAGAUACCCGUGUAGUCC